rnacentral:rRNA from 1 species
AUUGAACGCUGGCGGAAUGCUUUACACAUGCAAGUCGAACGGCAGCACGGGGCAACCUGGUGGCGAGUGGCGAACGGGUGAGUAAUACAUCGGAACGUGCCCAAUCGUGGGGGAUAACGUAGCGAAAGUUACGCUAAUACCGCAUACGAUCUACGGAUGAAAGCGGGGGAUCGCAAGACCUCGCGCGAAUGGAGCGGCCGAUGUCAGAUUAGGUAGUUGGUGGGGUAAAGGCUCACAAAGCCGACGAUCUGUAGCUGGUCUGAGAGGACGACCGGCAAGCCGGGAACUGAGGCACGGCCCAGACUACUACGGGAGGCAGCAGUGGGGAAGUUUGGACAAUGGGCGCAAGCCUGAUCCAGCCAUUCCGCGUGCAGGAUGAAGACCUUCGGGUUGUAAACUGCUUUUGUACGGAGCGAAAAGGCUCUCUCUAAUACAGGGGGCUCAUGACGGUACCGUAAGAAUAAGCACCGGCUAACUACGUGCCAGCCGCCGCCGUAACAC